UUGGUAACGAGAGUAAAUCGAUCUUUGCUCCUUAUUAUACAAUAAUUACAUAACUUGUGACCUAAGUACUGUUGGAAAUUCAAAUCAAAACAGGUUGUAAAUGGCAGCUGCUAGCUGUUAGUUUCUUUACAGGUUGUAUUCACACUUGCUGCAACUGCAAAGACUAAAGUUUUCUCCAUGUGCCAGCUGAAAGUGUGUUGAAAGACAGCAGCUGUGUGCUGCCAUGCUGUGUGCUAGCCGAAAGGUUGUGUUUGCAAACUGGAAGGAUGCAAUGUAUGUGUGUGCCAACUAUCCAAAGUUGCUGCAUGUGUUUGAAAGAGUGGAAAGAUGGUAAACACCAUCAUUCAUUGUAUGUGUUGUUGUAUUGUUUAUCAAUUUCUGUUUUGUAUAAAUAGGCCUUCUUGCUAGGCUUUAGAAUCAUCCAUUCCAAUCCCAUUCUCAUUUUCAGCUUGUAAGCUUUAAGAGUUGUAAACUCUUCUAAUAUUUCAAAGUGUUUGUUAUCACCAAGCUUGCUACUUCUUUCCUUUUGUUUGUCCAAUUUUAUUGAGGGUGCAAAGUGAGAGGUGUGAUAGAGUUUGUAAACUUAUCACCCACAUAUUUUGGUGUUGAGUUAGUAAACUUUUCAAUUCCAACAGUUGGUAUCAGAGCCAGAAUACCAUUC
rnacentral:lncRNA from 1 species